AGAGGCGGCGCCACAAAGCCAAGGAACAUCCUUCUUCCUCGUCGGCUCGUCUGCUCCUCUGCUCCCAGACAUCUCUCAACCAACCUGGACCUGGUGAUACACAGAUGAAUACACCAGGGGAUGGUAGCACACGCCUGUAUCCCAGCGCUCUGGAGGUGGAGGCAGGAGGACUACCCUCAAGCUUGAGGCCAUCCUGGACUACAUAGUGAAGAUCAUGUCAUAGAAAAGUCGUCAGCAUUCCAAAUUAUUCCUGACAGGCUCAAACUUUCAUUUUAAGCAUCCAUGUUCUGGACAGUUAUCUGGUAGCGAAUCCUCCAUCAGCAUUUCUCAUGCUCAGUAACUGGAACGAGAGGGCACCCAGACAACUGAGCGGACAAGGACAGCAUGGCUCGGCUGAAGCACCACUGACAGCCAACAGGACAGGAAUGAGGGAUAAGAAGCCAGUUUCUAUAUGUGGUAGGUGCCCAAUGCAGCUGCACAACAUCUGGAGACAUACUCUAAUAUCAGGUCAAUAUUCCAUGGGAAAAUAUAUACAAGAAGCAGAUAUGCCCAAAGGACUUUGCACAAAGAACAACAGACAUUUCCAAUUCUUUGGAUACCCAGCAAAGACCACCAAACCUCCCAAAUGAGACCUGCAGAAAACUCAUCACAAAUAUGGGCAGUUCCUUGAGCCUCAGAAACUAAGAAGAGAAGCCUUGGGGACUACACGGCCUGCUCAUAACUUCUGGAACGGGCUAGGCACUGUAUCUUAUAGUGCAGAGCCUUCGUACCCAACCAAAGUUCUAAGGAACUAUUAUCCCAGGGUUUAUUCACUCUUGGACUCUGACAUCGUACGACUCAGUCUGAGUCUGCUAAGACAUAACCACAGAAGCAAAGAUGAAGGAAGAUGCUCACCACAUCCACGGCAUCACACAGCCGCUCUCGGGGGAUAUGCUCAGUGAUGGAGGGACACUGAUUCUGCAGGAGCAGCACGGCCUUCAAACCCUCGGCUGUGCAGUCAGCAACGAUCCAGCCACAGUCCAGUGUGCUGAAGCAGAAACCGCCCUACAGAGAUAGAGUGCAACAGUGCCCUCCCUACAGAGCCGCAAGAGUCAGGGCAAGGCCUAGCCACCACCGCACAGGGGUACCUAAAUUGGGCGUAGUUGAGCAGACUUCAGCUUCAGCACAGGGACUAUCUAGGACUUCAUGCCCAGCCUGAAUGCCCUCAGAUCUCAGCAAUAAAUUGGGUCUGGAACC
rnacentral:lncRNA from 1 species